AUCUGUAGUCUAACAUGGAAUGAUUUCCAUUCUGUGCACUUCACUUAUCUUCUUGUUUCCACGCUACAGCUACGGGAAAUAGAAGAGGAGGAGGAAUUGGAAGAACUAAGUCAGGGUGUGAACAGAGCCAGGCAGGCAAAUCAUACAGUACUGAAAAAACAUUCUUUUUAUGAUGGUGGGCAAGAAAAAAAUGGGAUCCUACCAUGGAACACUGCAGAGGAGACAGGGGAAUGGUCAAGAAAAAAUGAGUCAGUGCAACAAAGUUUGGAGGGAAACCUUGAAACCAUAUUGCCAUUUUACCGUUCAGAAGCCUCCAACUUCUUUCUGCUGUUAAUUGAAGACAGUGUUGAGGACUUUGAUACUGAGCUCUCGCUUUUCAAUGAACUGUCAAACUCAAGUGACUUGGUUUCCUAUCCUCAAUAUUUACCAUAUUACAGAACACAUGAGGAAUUUUUUAUCAACCCUGUGUCACUGGACACAUUACUUAUCAGAGCAGACGUGGACGAAGGUGACAUAGGAAGAGAAAAAAGAGAAGGAAGUGGUGGCUGCAAAGUUAACAGUAUAAGAGAAGAUGAGACCCUGAGCAACUUAGUUAUUUCCACUGGAUAUUUUCCAUAUUAUAGAUCAUAUGAAGAGCACUUUGGCAGUCCAGUUUUACAUGAUGGCUUAAGCAUUACUGCACAGGGAAAAGAGACUAAUGGAGAGAGCAAUGAAAAAAGAGGAGAUGUCUGUGAGGUUGCUGUUGGAUGCAGUGAUAAAAGCAUCCCACAAAGUUAUAAAACAGAGAAGGAAGCAAUCUCGUCCAUGCCUAGUGUCAAGCCCUCUGGCUCCUUUCUAUUAACUGACAGCAUCACUGAAAACUGUGGUUCUGAGAUCUCGCUCCUCAAUGGACUAUCAAGGCUGAAUCAACCUUUUUCUCCCACUGGAUACUUUCCAUAUUACAGAACAUAUGGAGAACUCCUUAUCAGCCCAGCCUCACAUGAUGGGUUCUCUACCAGCUCUACUGAAGUUCGGGAUGAUGUUGGCUCUGAAACAGCAGGAAAAGGAAAAAGCAGGUGGGAUUUCAGUGGUAGCUGUGCAGUGUGCUGA
rnacentral:lncRNA from 1 species